AUUGAACGCUGGCGGCAUGCCUUACACAUGCAAGUCGAACGGCAGCACGGGGCAACCUGGUGGCGAGUGGCGAACGGGUGAGUAAUGCAUCGGAACGUGCCAUUGAGUGGGGGAUAACGUAGCGAAAGUUGCGCUAAUACCGCAUAUUCUGUGAGCAGGAAAGCAGGGGACCGCAAGGCCUUGCGCUCUUUGAGCGGCCGAUGUCAGAUUAGCUAGUUGGUGAGGUAACGGCUUACCAAGGCGACGAUCUGUAGCGGGUCUGAGAGGAUGAAUCCGCCACACUGGAACUGAGACACGGUCCAGACUCCUACGGGAGGCAGCAGUGGGGAAUUUUGGACAAU
rnacentral:rRNA from 1 species